UACGUAGGGUGCAAGCAUUGUCCGGAUUUAUUGGGCGUAAAGAGCUCGUAGGCGGCUUGUCACGUCGGGUGUGAAAACUCGGGGCUCAACCCCGAGCCUGCACUCGAUACGGGCUAGCUAGAGUGUUGCAGGGGAGACUGGAAUUCCUGGUGUAGCGGUGAAAUGCGUAGAUAUCUGGAGGAACACCGGUGGCGAAGGCGGCAUCCUGGACCGGUAUUGACGCUGAGGCGCGAAAGCUAGGGGAGCAAACGGG
rnacentral:rRNA from 1 species